CAAUAGCGUAUAUUAAAGCUGUUGCGGUUAAAAAGCUCGUAGUUGGAUUUCUGUCAAGGACAACUGGUCCGCCCUCCGGGUGAGCACAUAGUUUGGUCUCGGCAUCUUGCUGGAAACUGUUGCUGCACUUGGCUGUGUGGCGCAGCGUCCAGCACUUUCACUUUGAGGAAAUUGGAGUGUUUCAAGCAGGCACAUGCCUUUGGACACAGUAGCAUGGAAUAAUUAGAUUGGGCUUUUGCUCCAAUUUGUUGGUUUCUGGAGCUGAGGUGAGAAUUAAUGGGGAUUGUUGGGGGCAUCCGAAUUUAGCCGUCAGAGGUGAAAUUCUUGGAUCUGCUAAAGACGGACAACUGCGAAAGCGUUUGCCCAGGAUGUUUUCAUUGA
rnacentral:rRNA from 1 species